rnacentral:snoRNA from 1 species
GCGCGAUGAGGAUUGCAGCCAAACAUUUCUGACACCUCUUGUUUGAGGGUCCCGCAAAGGACUCGUUGAACUUAAUUUGCUGAUACGACUGAGCGC